AAAGUCGUAACAAGGUCUCCGUUGGUGAACCAGCGGAGGGAUCAUUAAAGAGUUGCAAAACUCCCACAACCAUCGCGAACGAUACCCGUAACCGUUGCCUCGGCGGCGCCGGCCCCUCCGGGGCUGCCCGCCGGCGGUACCCAAAACUCUGUUUUUGUAGGCCUCUCUGAGUAACUUAUCAAAUAAGUCAAAACUUUUAACAACGGAUCUCUUGGUUCUG
rnacentral:misc_RNA from 1 species